rnacentral:rRNA from 1 species
GAUGAACGCUGGCGGCGUGCCUAAUACAUGCAAGUCGAGCGAACAGAUGAGGAGCUUGCUCCUCUGACGUUAGCGGCGGACGUGUGAGUAACACGUGGAUAACCUACCUAUAAGACUGGGAUAACUUCGGGAAACCGGAGCUAAUACCGGAUAAUAUAUUGAACCGCAUGGUUCAAUAGUGAAAGACGGUUUUGCUGUCACUUAUAGAUGGAUCCGCGCCGCAUUAUCUAGUUGGUAAGGUAACGGCUUACCAAGGCAACGAUGGGUAGCCGACAUGAGAGGCUGAUAGCCCACACUGGAACGGAGACACGGCCCUGACUCCUACGGGAGGCAGCAGUAGGGAAUCUUCCGCAAUGGGCGAAAGCAUGACGGAGCAACGCCGCGUGAGUGAUGAAGGUCUUCGGAUCGUAAAACUCUGUUAUUAGGGAAGAACAAAUGUGUAAGUAACUAUGCACGUCUUGACGGUACCUAAUCAGAAAGCCACGGCUAACUACGUG